CAAGUACAAAGUAGAGCGCAACCC
rnacentral:piRNA from 1 species